CCUACGGGCGGCAGCAGUGGGGAAUAUUGGACAAUGGGGGGAACCCUGAUCCAGCCAUGCCGCGUGUGUGAAGAAGGCCCUCGGGUUGUAAAGCACUUUCAGUGAGGAAGAACGCCUGGUGGUUAAUACCCAUCAGGAAAGACAUCACUCACAGAAGAAGCACCGGCUAACUCCGUGCCAGCAGCCGCGGUAAUACGGAGGGUGCGAGCGUUAAUCGGAAUUACUGGGUGUAAAGCGCGCGUAGGUGGCUUGAUAAGCCGGUUGUGAAAGCCCCGGGCUCAACCUGGGAACGGCAUCCGGAACUGUCAAGCUAGAGUGCAGGAGAGGAAGGUAGAAUUCCCGGUGUAGCGGUGAAAUGCGUAGAGAUCGGGAAGAAUACCAGUGGCGAAGGCGGCCUUCUGGACUGACACUGACACUGAGGUGCGAAAGCGUGGGUAGCAAACAGGAUUAGAUACCCGGGUAGUC
rnacentral:rRNA from 1 species